UUGUAGCCUCGCCGACGAGGGCUGGCCCUCUGCU
rnacentral:tRNA from 1 species